CCUACGGGAGGCAGCAGUGGGGAAUAUUGCGCAAUGGGGGAAACCCUGACGCAGCAACGCCGCGUGAGUGAGGAAGGACUUCGGUCUGUAAAGCUCUGUUAAUGAGGAAAAAUGGUAGUUGGUCUAAUAGGCCGAUUAUUUGAUGGUACUCAUAGAGGAAGCACCGGCUAACUUCGUGCCAGCAGCCGCGGUAAUACGAAGGGUGCAAGCGUUGUUCGGAUUUAUUGGGCGUAAAGCGCGCGUAGGCGGACCUGCAAGUCAGAUGUGAAAUCUCGAGGCUCAACCUCGAAACUGCGUCUGAAACUACAGGUCUAGAAUCUCGGAGGGGGAAGGGGAAUUUCGCAUGUAGGGGUAAAAUCCGUAGAUAUGCGAAGGAACACCAGAGGCGAAGGCGCCUUCCUGGACGAGUAUUGACGCUGAGGCGCGAAAGCGUGGGGAUCAAACAGGAUUAGAUACCCUGGUAGUCCACGCUGUAAACGAUGAACACUAGGUAUUGGAGGAUUUGACCCCUUCAGUGCCGUAGCUAACGCGUUAAGNGUUCCGCCUGGGAAGUACGGUCGCAAGCUAAAACUCAAAGGAAUUGACGG
rnacentral:rRNA from 1 species